rnacentral:rRNA from 1 species
AGCUCCAGUAGCGUAUAUUAAAGUUGUUGCAGUUAAAAAGCUCGUAGUUGGAUUUCUGGUAUGACACGUCUAGUCCGCUGCGGUAACGUAUGUUGAGUACAAGUUCGUGUUUGCCAUCCUUCUAGGAAUCGCCUCUGCUCUUCACUGAGUUGGUUGCGAGUUCUAGAUCUUUUACUUUGAAAAAAUUAGAGUGUUUAAAGCAGGCAUUGCCGUGAAUACAUUAGCAUGGAAUAAUAAUUUAGGACUUCGGUUCCUAGUUUGUUGGUUCUUGGAGCGAAGUAAUGAUUGAUAGGGAUAGUUGGGGGUGCUAGUAUUGAUUGGCCAGAGGUGAAAUUCUUGGAUUCAAUCAAGACUAACUUAUGCGAAAGCAUUCACCAAGGAUGUCUUCUUUA